AUUUGUGGUGUGGACCUGUAGUUCCAGCUAUUCAGGAGGCUGAUGUAGAAGGAUUACUUGAGCCCAGGAGUUCUGGGCUAUAGUGCUCUGUGCUAAUCAGGUGCCUACAGUUAAGUUUAGCAUCAAUAUGGUGACUUCCCAGAGAGGAGGACCACAAGGUUGCAUAAGGAGGGAUGAAUUGGUCCAGGUCAGAAACGGAGGAGGUCAAAACUCCCAUGUAGUUCAGUAGUGGUAUUAUGUCUGUGAAUAGCCACUGUACUCCAGCCCGGGCAACAUAGUAAGACCCUGUCUCUU
ensembl:misc_RNA Metazoa_SRP Metazoan signal recognition particle RNA